UCCCUGGAGGACUAGUGGUUAGGCCACGAUGCUCUCACCGCCGCGGCCCGGGAUCGAUUCCCGACCAGGGAA
rnacentral:tRNA from 1 species